rnacentral:rRNA from 1 species
UAGGGAAUCUUCCGCAAUUGGCGAAAGCCUGACGCAGCAACGCCGUGUGAGUGAUGAAGGUCUUCGGAUCGUAAAACUCUGUUAUUAUGGAAGAACAAAUGUGUAAGUAACUAUGCACGUCUUGACGGUACCUAAUCAGAAAGCCACGGCUAACUACGUGCCAGCAGCCGCGGUAAUACGUAGGUGGCAAGCGUUAUCCGGUAUUAUUGGGCGUAAAGCGCGCGUAGGCGGUUUUUUAAGUCUGAUGUGAAAGCCAACGGCUCAACCGUGGAGGGUCAUUGGAAACUGGAAAACUUGAGUGCAGAAGAGGAAAGUGGAAUUCCAUGUGUAGCGGUGAAAUGCGCAGAGAUAUGGAGGAACACCAGUGGCGAAGGCGACUUUCUGGUCUGUAACUGACGCUGAUGUGCGAAAGCGUGGGGAUCAAACAGG